rfam:Oryza glumipatula chromosome 6, whole genome shotgun sequence.
GUUUAGUUAGUUUUAUACUGUUUAUAUCAAACGAUUGACCAUCCGACUUAUUUGAAAUUUUUUUAUGAUUAGUAUUUUUAUUGUUAUUAGAUGAUAAAACGUGAAUAGUACUUUAUGUGCGAUUACUUUUUAAUUUUUUAAAAUAAGACGGACGGUCAAACGUUUGACACGGAUACCCACAGCUGUACUUAUU